GGGGAACGACACAGGAAGAAAAAAAGGGAAACAAAUGCUCUAAAAGUCAAAGUUUCUUUACUUGAUUAUUGACUUUCUCGAUUUUUUUUUUAAAUUUUAUUU
rnacentral:ribozyme from 1 species